GGAGACGUGGGUGAGUGGCUGAAACCAGCGCCUUGCUAAGGCGUCGUGCGUUCUGCGUACCGCGAGUUCGAAUCUCGCCGUCUCCGCCA
rnacentral:tRNA from 1 species